rnacentral:lncRNA from 1 species
ACUGCAUCCAGGGGAGUUAGUUAUCUGCAAGAAGAAGAGGAAAGACCGGGACAAGUCAGCAGUGAGGUCAAGGACUGGAUCAAGUGGUCCAGUCUCCCCCCCUAGCAUGGGCCGUAAUAUCACGAGUCCUGUUUUGAAUUCAAUACCUAAAGAUGCGAGACUGAACACUAGUCCUGUUUUGAAUUCAAUACCUAAAGAUGCGAGACUGAAUACUAGUCCUGUUUUGAAUUCAAUACCUAAAGAUGCGAGACUGAGCCAGCAGAAUACGCAUCAGCAAGGGUGGGUGAACCAACCACAACCACCAAAUGGUGGUGCGGGGAGUGUUGGUUGGGCAAAUCCUGUAAAGAGGUUGAGGACAGAUGCUGGUAAAAGAAGGCCGAGCCAU